CCCCUCUCAGGAUCACACCUGGAGAGUUUCCAGUACUUUACCAGUUUUAGCUACAGGAGGGAGGGUCAAGCAUAGGCAUAUCCAUUCUAUUCCUAGCUUGGGCAGUGGCUAGCCAGUAGAAGGCAAUAUGCUACAAGU